rnacentral:rRNA from 1 species
CCCUUAGAUGUUCUGGGCCGCACGCGCGCUACACUGAUGCAUUCAACGAGUUUCUUCCUGGUCCGAGAGGAAUGGGUAACCUUUUGAAAGUGCAUCGUGAUAGGGAUAGACUAUUGCAAUUAUUGGUCUUCAACGAGGAAUUCCUAGUAGACGUAGUUCAUCAGACUGCAUCGAUUACGUCCCUGCCCUUUGUACACACCGCCCGUCGCUCCUACCGAUUGAAAGCUCAGGUGAGCCAUUCGGACUUUCAUCAUGCUGGUUUCCAGUUUUGAUGAAGGAAAGUCUUGCGAACCUUAUCAUUUAGAGGAAGGAGAAGUCGUAACA